GGGGAAUAUUGCACAAUGGGCGCAAGCCUGAUGCAGCGACGCCGCGUGAGGGAUGACGGCCUUCGGGUUGUAAACCUCUUUCAGUAGGGAAGAAGCUUUCGGGUGACGGUACCUGCAGAAGAAGCGCCGGCUAACUACGUGCCAGCAGCCGCGGUAAUACGUAGGGCGCAAGCGUUAUCCGGAAUUAUUGGGCGUAAAGAGCUCGUAGGCGGUUUGUCGCGUCUGCUGUGAAAACGCGAGGCUCAACCUCGCGCCUGCAGUGGGUACGGGCAGACUAGAGUGCGGUAGGGGAGAUUGGAAUUCCUGGUGUAGCGGUGGAAUGCGCAGAUAUCAGGAGGAACACCGAUGGCGAAGGCAGAUCUCUGGGCCGUAACUGACGCUGAGGAGCGAAAGCGUGGGGAGCGAAC
rnacentral:rRNA from 1 species